GGCGGAUGGGUGAGUAACACGUGGGGAACCUGCCCCUAAGUCUGGGAUACCAUUUGGAAACAGGUGCUAAUACCGGAUAAUAAAGCAGAUCGCAUGAUCAGCUUUUGAAAGGCGGCGUAAGCUGUCGCUAAGGGAUGGCCCCGCGGUGCAUUAGCUAGUUGGUAAGGUAACGGCUUACCAAGGCGACGAUGCAUAGCCGAGUUGAGAGACUGAUCGGCCACAUUGGGACUGAGACACGGCCCAAACUCCUACGGGAGGCAGCAGUAGGGAAUCUUCCACAAUGGACGCAAGUCUGAUGGAGCAACGCCGCGUGAGUGAAGAAGGUUUUCGGAUCGUAAAGCUCUGUUGUUGGUGAAGAAGGAUAGAGGUAGUAACUGGCCUUUAUUUGACGGUAAUCAACCAGAAAGUCACGGCUAACUACGUGCCAGCAGCCGCGGUAAUACGUAGGUGGCAAGCGUUGUCCGGAUUUAUUGGGCGUAAAGCGAGCGCAGGCGGAAAAAUAAGUCUAAUGUGAAAGCCCUCGGCUUAACCGAGGAACUGCAUCGGAAACUGUUUUUCUUGAGUGCAGAAGAGGAGAGUGGAACUCCAUGUGUAGCGGUGGAAUGCGUAGAUAUAUGGAAGAACACCAGUGGCGAAAGGCGGCUCUCUGGUCUGCAACUGACGCUGAGGCUCGAAAGCAUGGGUAGCGAACAGGAUUAGAUACCCUGGGUAGUCCAUGCCCGUAAACGAUGA
rnacentral:rRNA from 1 species